GUAGUUGGCCGGUGCUUCUUCUCGACCUACCGUCAGCCCACCAACAAGAUGGACCUUCGUCGAUCGCGAAAGAGGUUUACAACCCGAAGGCCGUCAUCCCUCACGCGGCGUUGCUGGGUCAGGCUUUCGCCCAUUGCCCAAUAUUCCCCACUGCUGCCUCCCGUAGGAGUCUGGACCGUGUCUCAGUUCCAGUGUGGCCGAUCAGCCUCUCAGCUCGGCUACCCAUCGUUGGCUUGGUGGGCCGUUACCUCACCAACUACCUAAUGGGACGCGAACCCCUCUUAAAGCGGAUUGCUCCUUUGACCUCAUCCCGAUGCCGGGUCGUGGUCUUAUGCGGUAUUAGCACUUGUUUCCAGGUGUUAUCCCCCUCUUUAAGGCAGGUUGUUCACGCGUUACUCACCCGUUCGCCACUAAGUACAAAACCGAAAUCUUGUACUCCGUUCGACUUGCAUGUGUUAGGCACGCCGCCAGCGUUCGUCCUGAACCAAGAUCAAAUUCUGA
rnacentral:rRNA from 1 species